UGGGGAAUAUUGGACAAUGGGGGCAACCCUGAUCCAGCCAUGCCGCGUGCGUGAAUAAGGCCUUAGGGUUGUAAAGCGCUUUCAGCGGGGACGAUGAUGACGGUACCCGCAGAAGAAGCACCGGCUAACUCCGUGCCAGCAGCCGCGGUAAUACGGAGGGGGCAAGCGUUGUUCGGAAUUACUGGGCGUAAAGGGCGCGUAGGCGGCACAUCAAGUCAGAGGUGAAAGCCCCGGGGUCAACCUGGGAAUUGCCUUUGAAUCUGUAGAGGUAGAGUGCGGAAGAGGAUAGCGGAAUUCCCAGUGUAGAGGUGAAAUUCGUAGAUAUUGGGAAGAACACCAGUGGCGAAGGCGGCUAUCUGGUCCGGUACUGACGCUGAGGCGCGAAAGCGUGGGGAGCAAACAGGAUUAGAUACCCCCGUAGUCC
rnacentral:rRNA from 1 species